rnacentral:rRNA from 1 species
UACGAAGGGGGCUAGCGUUGCUCGGAAUGACUGGGCGUAAAGGGCGCGUAGGCGGCUCACAGAGUCGGACGUGAAAUUCCUGGGCUUAACCUGGGGGCUGCGUUCGAUACCUGUGGACUAGAGUGGGGAAGAGGGUCGUGGAAUUCCCAGUGUAGAGGUGAAAUUCGUAGAUAUUCGGAAGAACACCAGUGGCGAAGGCGACUUACUGGACGAUUGUUGACGCUGAGGUGCGAAAGCGUGGGGAGCAAACAGG